rnacentral:ncRNA from 1 species
UAUCGUGAGGUAGCGGGGAGAGGAAGGGAUAGCGAAAUCGAGGCUCUACGAAUAGAAACGUGAUACAAGGCGUUAACAGCGGAUGAGGUGACCAAAAACACUAAAGUCCAAGAAGGUAGUCGUAACCUGUUGGCGUAAAUCACGAGAGUAAUCGAGGAAAGAUG